UGGGGAAUUUUGGACAAUGGGGGCAACCCUGAUCCAGCCAUCCCGCGUGUGCGAUGAAGGCCUUCGGGUUGUAAAGCACUUUUAGCAGGAAAGAAACGGCUCUGGCUAAUACCUGGGGCAUCUGACGGUACCUGCAGAAUAAGCACCGGCUAACUACGUGCCAGCAGCCGCGGUAAUACGUAGGGUGCAAGCGUUAAUCGGAAUUACUGGGCGUAAAGCGUGCGCAGGCGGUUCGGAAAGAAAGAUGUGAAAUCCCAGGGCUUAACCUUGGAACUGCAUUUUUAACUACCGGGCUAGAGUGUGUCAGAGGGAGGUGGAAUUCCGCGUGUAGCAGUGAAAUGCGUAGAGAUGCGGAGGAACACCGAUGGCGAAGGCAGCCUCCUGGGAUAACACUGACGCUCAUGCACGAAAGCGUGGGGAGCAAACA
rnacentral:rRNA from 1 species